GUGGGGAAUAUUGGACAAUGGGCGCAAGCCUGAUCCAGCCAUGCCGCGUGAGUGAUGAAGGCCUUAGGGUUGUAAAGCUCUUUCAGUGGGGACGAUAAUGACGGUACCCACAGAAGAAUCCCCGGCUAACUUCGUGCCAGCAGCCGCGGUAAUACGAAGGGGGCUAGCGUUGUUCGGAUUUACUGGGCGUAAAGCGCACGUAGGCGGAUCGUUAAGUCGGGGGUGAAAUCCUGGAGCUCAACUCCAGAACUGCCUUCGAUACUGGCGAUCUUGAGUGCGGAAGAGGUGAGUGGAACUCCUAGUGUAGAGGUGGAAUUCGUAGAUAUUAGGAAGAACACCAGUGGCGAAGGCGGCUCACUGGUCCGGUACUGACGCUGAGGUGCGAAAGCGUGGGGAGCAAACAGGAUUAGAUACCCGAGUAGUCC
rnacentral:rRNA from 1 species